rnacentral:tRNA from 1 species
AGUUAAUGAACUUGAAUAAGUUUAUAUUUUGAAAAUAUAAAAAAGAAACUUAAAUUUUCUAUUAACUU